AGCCAUCUCUGCUAACUCCAUCAGCUUUUGUAACCGUUCAUCCAAGAUGGGAAUGGAAGCAUCCUUCCAAGAAUUGCAGGAUUCCUAGGACCACAGCAAGUUUUCUCUGACCACACAGAUCCAUCUCUGCUGAUCUCCUGCAGCAGCUCAAAUAAAUCAGCUCUUAACCCACGUUUGAAGUCUGACUCAAAGAUGAAUAAGCUGAGUCUCAACAUCUUUUUUACAUCGUGGUGACCAAAACUGGAGGCAGAAGUCCAAGUGUGGCCUUACCACUCCUUAUUAGGAGUCCUGUGGGACACAGAAGAUCAACUGAAAUUGAGAAGGAGAACUGGGUUCCAAAAGCUUCUCUGCCUCAGUCUAAAUGUGUGGAAAAAUGCCAUCCUGGAUUUGUCAAGCAGGCUCGAGAAGGAGAGCCAGUUUGCUGCUACGACUGCAUUCCUUGUCCAGAGGGGACCAUCUCCACUCAGGAAGGUGGGUGACACCACAGGGAAACUUUGAUCAAUAUGCAAGUUAAAGACACAUGUAAGUUUGAUUGUUUAGUUCUCAAUUUUAAUGGUGUCCAAUUUCUUCCCUAAAUGGGAUAUAUAAGAAAAAUAUCUUGAAGGAUAAGGUAAGAAAAAGGAUAUUGUGCAUUGCAUGGAAAAUCUCUCUUUCAUUUCCCAGUUUGGAUGUUUCUGUCCAUAUUUAUCUUUCUUAGAAAUAUGUGUAUUCUUUGUAACUUGAGGAAUAAUUUUUGAUCAAUGGGUUUUGUUUACCUAAACCCAGUGCUUUUUUCCCCAAAAAAAGAGGUGCCAGAACUCAUACACAUCAUACAACCCG